AUGAACUCUUCUCCAGGCUUCAUGACUGCGAUACUCCUCAUUCUCGGAAGGACACAUGGAGACUCCGUGACUCAAACAGGAGAACAAGUGACCAUCUCAGAAGGCGAGUUCCUGACAAUAAAUUGCACGUAUUCAAUCACAAGCGUAGCGUACCCUGCUCUUUUCUGGUAUGUUCGACAUCCUGGAGAAAGUCUGCAGCUCCUCCUGAAAGUCCUUACAGCUGGUGAGAAGGGAAGCAGCAGAGGUUUUGAAGCUACAUAUGAUAAGGGAUCCAAAUCCUUCCACUUGCAGAAAGCCUCGGUCCAAGAGUCAGACUCAGCUGAGUACUACUGUGCUGUUGGUGACACAGUGACAGGAACUGCAGGGGGAGCUGAACACAAACUGAGAGGCAGCAGGCUGCCUGACUGCUGA